AGGUCGAAAGGAAGAGUAGGGACAACUGCCCGUUUCCGUUCCUUCAGCGACACCUUCACACAGUCAUUCCAAGAAAAGAGUCCAUUCUUCUCGUGGUGUUGAGAGGCGCCAGGAAUAGACAACUAGGCAUAUGGAUUGAGGGGGAACAAGAGGGACUGUUUGUAACACAUUAAUCGUUUAAGUGAUGUGGAUAUUAUUAUUCUUUUUCAUAGCAGUUUUUUGAAUAUUAGAUUUUUCUUCUUUUUUAAAAUCUUUUAUCAUAUUAUGAAUGUAUGUAUAGUAAUCAUGAUGCAUUUGUAUGUUGUUUAAUCAGAGAGAGAGAGAGAAAGAGAAAGACAUACACAUGCAAACUUGAACAUAAAACAACGAGUGCUAUUGGUGAGAUAACAUUUUUGAGAAUGAUAUGAGGCAGGUAGUCAAGGUAUUUAUUCCAGAACCUGCAUUAGGGAAAUGGUGGUUGACAUUACACAAUGCAUCCCAAAUCAGAGGGCCAUGAAUAUGAAACAGAUUAAGGAAAACUGUGCAUACCCCUCACAUCUGUACACCACCACAGCAGCAUUCAGCAUGUGACCUAUACUGGUUAACCCUACACUGACGGUGCCAAAAUUUUCUGUGCGGCUCAUUCUGGCAACUGCUGGCAGCCGUCAAGCCUUUCAGCCGGGGCGAUCGCUAUGAACAGUUGGCCCUGCCUGCUUUCUCCCCAGAGCGAGUCAUAACACCUAUACCUGUUGCACAACAGAAGGGUAUGUUUUCAAACGGUAAGCCUGUGUCAGUGGUAAGCAGUGGAAUGUAGUUACUGCUUUCUCUUUAAGAACUUGUGAGGAUGCAGUGAACAAUAGUGAUUAUCAGAUGAGAGUGGUAAUGGAAAUGGAAUUGAGAUGGGUAAUCACUUAAGAGUCAGAUUUUAUAACUGUAUAUUUAUCAAAAAUUAACCUGUAAAUGAGGAAGUAGCCAGCCUAAUGGGGUUGAUGAUCAAAGAAUUGAAUCGGUAAGUGAAGCACAAAUGGUAUUUAAAAGAAAAAGUAAUUCCCCUUUUCUCAUAUUAAGACAUCAUCACAAAAUUAGUUUAAUUUUUGUGUAAACAAGAAUAGAAAUUGACUAGGGCUCAUGAUUUCCAAUCAGAAACAUCUCUGGUCUACUUUGGGGAUUUGUUGGAUAUUUAGGGAAGGAAAUCCUUCUUGUUGCAAUGAAUAUUGAUGCAGUGUUGAUAAGGAAGCUGUUGGAAGUCCAGCUCAUUUCUCAAUUGCUCUGUCAUGGCAUUAAGUGAGGUUGGUGUGUAUGUGUGUAUGUGUGUGAAUGAGACGAGGUGAGUGCAUGUGUAGAUGUUAGUAGCAUUUGUUUCUCCCUUUUCUUUUUGUUUUCAUCUUUUCUUGUGUAAUGGUUUCUUGCCUUUCCUGUCUGUCUUGCAUUUGCCUGUGUGCUUUUCAUUUGUAUAUUUUUUUAUUUUAUUAUUAUUAUUUUUUAUUGCAGUGUGUAUGACUUUUCUUUUGGCAACUUUCCAAACCUAGAGCAGAAAGAUAAUUAGGAUUAAUCAUGUAAAAGAAAUAUAUAUAUAGAAUUACCAGUCACAACAGCAUCUGACAUUGUCAUCUCAGUGAUUUUACUCAUAUUGAGUAGGGAUUUUAAUUUCUUCCCCAUAUCAUUGUUUUUUCUUUCUUUUCAUGCAAUAGAUAGUCUGGAAAAGGGAAAUUGUUAUCAAAACCUGUAAAAACCAAAGGAUUAUAAUAUAGUUACCAGGAAAAGGAGAGUAGUUAAAUCAUAUUUGCCUUUGCUUGUGCACAGCAGUGAUGGAAACUUGUGCAGGGAUAUGUAGUUGUCUAUGAUGUCAGUUUGAAGUCUUGUUACAUACUUCAUUAUUAUUUUUCCCCCAUCUCAUUUGAUUGCACUUUCGAUAUUACUAUUUUGAUGGUUAUUUUUCUACUUCAUUCAUGUAUGAUUAAAAUUUAACUGUCAUUGUUAUUUUCAUUUUGCUUCCACCCUAAAUGUGGAAAAGACCUUUUGGCAGACUCAUCACACUCAGACACCUUGACCCCUUAAGGAAGCUCUGUGAUAAUAAAUUACUUUACGGAAGAAUGGCUGAACACUGCAGUCACUGAGGCCAAGAAAUUUGAUACUAAGGGAGUUUAUUAUAGGAUUUUGGAGCUGGGGUAUGGUAAGGUGUGGCGUAUGUGGUUUCAGUGACCUCCUUGUUAAAAAGAUUUAAAAAGUGAAAGUGGUGUGAGUGAAGUGAUAAAAGUCCUUUUUCUUUAAGGACUUUUUUUUCAUAGUUCAUAGUAUGACCAAAGUUGGAGUUAAUAAUAGUAAUGAUAGCAAAGAUAAUAUUAAUGUGUAUAGUCAAUAUAUUUUUCAAAUUAUGAUCAUAAAAGUCUUUGGAUUUAGUGUUGACAGGUGGAUGGUUUCUGGGUGCCAGUUAUGCAGCAUUUGUCCAGAUUUUACAGGAAUUUGGCUUUCAUUAUGUAUGUGAUAAUAACCUUAUAAUUGAUUUGAUUAUAUCCAUAACAUUAUCGUGGACCCAUUUUUAGAUUUUUGAGAUUUCCUUAUUUUGAGUUUUUUUCUUUUUAUUUCCUUGGCACUCAGUCCAAAUAGCAGUGAAGAUGCCAAGGGAAGCUGUCCAAAAGAAUGGUACUGGCUAGUUUGCAGUUGGUCUUAAAACCGGAAGAAAAUAGUAAAACAAAAAACUUUAGGCAUUGUGAAUAAGAGGAGGAAGCUACAUGUUUUUUUUUUUUUUUUUUUUUUUUUUUUCCAUUAAUAGGAGAAUGAUAGGAAAUAAAAAAUGAGCACUCCCAAUAAUGUUUGAACUGGUGCCUGAAGUGUAUGCAGUUCCAAACCCUUUUCUGAAUUUUUUUUCGUUUGUUUACCUAGAGUUCCCAGAUAGUUGGCCUUUUAGCGUUGCUUUUAUUUUUAUUAUUGUGAUCAUUAUUGAUAUUGCCGUUAUAAUUUUUAUUAUUAUUAUUGUUGUUGUUUUAUACUAUAAAUAAUGAUCUUUCCUAUGAUUAUGACUGUUAUAUACAGUAUUUUUUAAUAUUUCAUUUUCGUUUUAUUUUGAUAUUUAUAAAAGGUGACUUGUAUUAAGAGACUGUAGGAAACACUUAUUUGGCUCCCUACUAGUGAAAUUAUUUUAUGUAUCUUAAAAUUACAGUGCUGCAUUUAUCAAGAAUAUAGGCCUGUACAUGGUAAGGUUUUCUAAAGCGUAAAGUCAUUAGUUGCAAGUUGUCCUGUGUGCAACUGGGAGAAUAUGCUUUCAUGAGAUGUUGGAAGGGUGUAUAUGCUCAUCACUAGGGACUGUUUUGCUGUACAUAAUUUUAUUUAAAUACACAAAGUAGCAUCUACAGUGAGUUUGUUGAUAUUCUUAUUAUUACAUUCUACAGUAUUGAAAGCACAGGAUCUUCUGACUUCUUUAGAUUUUAGAAUUCAGUAUAAAGCUUGAGGGAAUAUGGUGGUCUCUUAUAUUUGAUAAUAUGGAUUUAGUAGAUUUUUUCUUUCUAAAUUUCACCAUGCUGUAGCAUUUUGUAGCCAGAAUCCUUCAGGUUUGUAUGUUAAAUUACCCUACUUCUGCACCACAGGAUGCAUGUUCUUAUAUUGUUUGAACCAAGCAAGCAUUUUUCCAUCAUAUGCCCUUGUACCUUAUAGAAGACAGCCUUUGUUAAUUGAAUGUAAUAGUUUUGAUUUAUUAUUAUUACUUCUUAUUGUUAUUUUUUCUGUUUUUUUGCCUGUGGCUUUUAUUUCUAAAGAGUGCCUCCUCUGCUGUCAACAAUCUUCCCUUUUUUCAUCCCUUCCCUGUGCAUAAAUAGAAAAUAUUGCAAGAAAAAGAUGUAUGUUCAGGAUGGUGCCUUCAUAUUGUAUAUUGUUCUGUCUACAUAUUGUAUAUGCUUAGUACGAUGAUAAGGAACUGUCUUGCAGAAGGAAAAAAGCUGCCAGAGCUUUGCCACAUUGUAAUUGUAUUUUGAACUUGAAUAGUAUUUUUUAAGGAAGAGUAUGUAGAAACUUCAUAAAUAUGGUUUUCAGAGUUUUUUUCAGGGGGGUUUGUAUUUUGUGUAAGGCACUGUAAUUGCCUUUGUAAUUGUCACCAUAUUUCUAUUCAAUGACAUAUUGGGUGUAAACAAAAGAUUUUUUAAAAAGUACAGGAAAGGAAUUCUUCAACAGAUGUUAACUUCAAAUUCCCAGAAAAGCUGGUAUUGUUAGUGGCACUUUUUAACAUGCCAAAUUUGAAAUCCAGCUGUAUGACCAGUAAGUUGUAAAGCAAAGUCAAUGCAAAAUAAUAAGCUUAUACCUAUUUAUCUCUUAUUAUUGUAUGUCAAAGCUUCCUUAUAAAUAUACCUAGUCUUAACAUUUGUUUA